AUGGCGAAUCUGCCGCCGUCCCUCGCCGCCGGCCCCUCCUUCGGCGCGCCCUCCCCGCCCCCGCUCCCGCCCCCGUCCGGCUCGUCGGCCGCGGCGCCGCCCGCCGGGGGGAGGGACCGGAAGAUGGUGUCCGCGGAGCAGCUCGUGCUCGACCUCUGCGACCCGGAGCUGCGCGAGAACGCCCUCCUCGAGCUCUCCAAGAAGCGAGAGAUUUUUCAAGACCUUGCUCCACUGCUGUGGCACUCCUUUGGCACCGUUGCUGCACUGCUCCAGGAGAUUGUGUCAAUCUACCCUUCACUUUCACCUCCUACUUUGUCGCCAGUUGCAUCAAACCGUGUCUGCAAUGCACUUGCACUUCUUCAGUGUGUUGCUUCACACCCUGACACCAGGAUCCCGUUCUUGAAUGCUCACAUCCCACUGUACCUGUACCCGUUCCUGAAUACUACCAGCAAGACAAGACCUUUUGAGUACUUGAGGCUUACCAGCUUGGGUGUUAUUGGUGCUCUUGUGAAGGUUGACGAUUCUGAAGUCAUUGGGUUUCUGCUUCAAACUGAAAUAAUCCCUCUGUGUCUGCGUACUAUGGAGAUGGGCAGUGAACUUUCCAAAACAGUGGCCACCUUUAUUGUUCAAAAGAUUCUGCUUGAUGACAUUGGGCUGCGUUACAUCUGCGCGACCGCUGAGCGUUUCUUUGCUGUGGCCACUGUUUUAGCACAGAUGGUCCAGGCGCUUGCUGAACAGCCGUCUGCAAGAUUGCUGAAGCACAUAAUCCGCUGCUACCUCAGGCUGACAGAGAACCAGAGGGCUUGUGCUGCGCUCAACAGUUGCCUCCCCACCGUGCUGAAGGACGGGACAUUCAACAACUUCCUUCUUGAUGACAACGUUACAAGGCGGUGGCUCCAGCAGCUGCUGAGCAACAUGUCGAUCGCCGGCAUGGGCGGGGGAAGCUCCCACACUGGUAUGGGCGGAGGAGGCUCUCUCGGCGGCAUGGGCGGGGGAGGCUCUCUUGGGGGCAUGGGCGGCGGAGGCUCUCUUGGUGGCAUGGGCGGCGGAGGCUCUCUCGGUGGUGGCAUGGGAGGCGGGGGCUCUCUCGGCGGCAUGGGUGGAGGAGGCUCUCUUGGUGGCGGCAUGGGAGGCGGGGGCUCUCUCGGCGGCAUGGGUGGGGGAGGCCCUCACGGGGGCCUCGACCACCUGAUGGGGCUCUGA
rnacentral:rRNA from 1 species